rnacentral:rRNA from 1 species
AUUGAACGCUGGCGGCAUGCCUUACACAUGCAAGUCGAACGGUAACAGGUCUUCGGAUGCUGACGAGUGGCGAACGGGUGAGUAAUACAUCGGAACGUGCCCGAGAGUGGGGGAUAACGAGGCGAAAGCUUUGCUAAUACCGCAUACGAUCUCAGGAUGAAAGCAGGGGACCGCAAGGCCUUGCGCUCACGGAGCGGCCGAUGGCAGAUUAGGUAGUUGGUGGGAUAAAAGCUUACCAAGCCGACGAUCUGUAGCUGGUCUGAGAGGACGACCAGCCCCACUGGGACUGAUACACGGCCCAGACUCCUACGGGAGGCAGCAGUGGGGAAUUUUGGACAAUGGGCGCAAGCCUGGUCCAGCCAUGCCGCGUGCAGGAUGAAGGCCUUCGGGUUGUAAACUGCUUUUGUACGGAACGAAAAGACUCUGGUUAAUACCUGGGGUCCAUGACGGUACCGUAAGAAUAAGCACCGGCUAACUACGUGCCAGCCGCCGCCGUAAGAC